GUCAGCGCCGUAGCGCGGUGGUCCCACCUGACCCCAUGCCGAACUCAGAAGUGAAACGCCGUAGCGCCGAUGGUAGUGUGGGGUCUCCCCAUGCGAGAGUAGGGAACUGCCA
rnacentral:rRNA from 1 species